UACGGAGGGUGCAAACGUUGCUCGGAAUCAUUGGGCGUAAAGCGCACGUAGGCGGCCCGCUAAGUCGGAUGUGAAAGCCCUCGGCUUAACCGAGGAAGUGCAUUCGAAACUGACAGUCUUGAGUAUGGAAGAGGGUCGCGGAAUUCCCGGUGUAGAGGUGAAAUUCGUAGAUAUCGGGAGGAACACCAGUGGCGAAGGCGGCGACCUGGGCCAAUACUGACGCUGAGGUGCGAAAGCGUGGGGAGCAAACAGG
rnacentral:rRNA from 1 species